GAGUUUGAUUAUGGCUCAGAUUGAACGCUGGCGGCAGGCUUAACACAUGCAAGUCGAACGGUAGCAGGAGAAAGCUUGCUUUCUUGCUGACGAGUGGCGGACGGGUGAGUAAUGCUUGGGAAUCUGGCUUAUGGAGGGGGAUAACUACUGGAAACGGUAGCUAAUACCGCGUAAUAUCGAGAGAUUAAAGACUGGGACCUACGGNCCAGUUGCCAUAAGAUGAGCCCAAGUGGGAUUAGGUAGUUGGUGGGGUAAAGGCCUACCAAGCCCGCGAUCUCUAGCUGGUCUGAGAGGAUGACCAGCCACACUGGAACUGAGACACGGUCCAGACUCCUACGGGAGGCAGCAGUGGGGAAUAUUGCACAAUGGGGGGAACCCUGAUGCAGCCAUGCCGCGUGAAUGAAGAAGGCCUUCGGGUUGUAAAGUUCUUUCGGUGGUGAGGAAGGUAUCAACUUUAAUAGAGUUGGUAAUUGAC
rnacentral:rRNA from 1 species